CAGCCGUGACACCAACAGUAACUAAAGCGAUGUAACAUCGGCUACGAAUGAACUCACCUACCUGUUACCGAUGCCGGGCGCCGUUGUCGCUCACUUAUUAGCAGUUAGCACGUGGAAUCUUGGAAUCUUGGAACCUGGGAAGAACAACAACAAGCAUGCGCAUGCCAACCCGCAGGCCCUUUUAAAACCUAGAGCUAACGAUUUCGCGCGUAGGGCUGCGUUCAAUGCCGUAAACUGAGGGUUUAAAUUCUACACGUGCAUCAGUCCAGUCAGCUGAUUGCACCGAUUGCACAAAACAAAUUCAAAUGUGAAAAUACCAUAAAACCCUCCGAGUGUACAACACUGAUUGAUCGUUUUAACGACUUUUCGCUAGUUAGUAUUGGUGAUCAAAGAAGACUAGAAAAAAAUCUUUGUUUUAUAAACGGCCAUUUUGACAUCAGACCUAGCCGGAGCUGGAUUAAAAAAUGCUCGACGCAGGCAUGGAGGUGCUGGCGGUUUGUUCCAAAGCUGUGCAAGAGACGGCACCAUGUGAUUCAAUUUUGAAUAGCCCUUUGUGUAAUCUGCCCGCUCAUCCAGGCUACCACGUCAUGCAAUGCUUAUUGAUCGCUUCAAGCCCCAGGCCGCCAAAGCACGGGCUUAAUUCUAGAGCCCCUAAUGAAGGAGAGGUCCUCAUAUGCCAGAUCCUGGUGCCGAGCGACCAAUUUUAUUUGGCCAAAAGUGUAGUGUAGUGCAGUGUGUUUAGCGAAGUGUAAU